rnacentral:misc_RNA from 1 species
CGAGUGUUUAUGGGCUCCAUCAUCAAACCUGGUCCUGCGACACAGAUGAUCACACAGCAGGUAAUUGCUAUAAAUCGUUGAAAAGUUCCCUCGACUAUCUUUCGUCUCCAUCAUCAGACUUUAAUGGUACUUGUAACUCAUAUAGGUGCAAAGUUCUCAUCAAUAGAAACGAAUUAAGUUCAAACAGCAGGUAAUUGCUAUAAAUCGUUGAAAAGUUCCCUCGACUAUCUUUCGUCUCCAUCAUCAGACUUUAAUGGCACUUGUAACUCAUAUAGGUGCAAAGUUCUAAUCAAUAGAAACGAAUUAAGUUCAAACAGCAGGU